AGCGUGAGUUAAGGCCUGGGGCCUGCUCAGAUGUAAGCCUGCGGUACCUAUGGUAUUCGGUGCCGCCGAGGGUCGGGCUACAUGCUGCAUGCAUGACCUAAGCCGAAUCGCUGUUGUUUUGGUAUUGUGGUGUUUUACGAGUAUGCUUAUCUGCUACCACAGAAAACCACCCCGGUUAAAGUAAUGAUUAAGUAAUAGGUAGGUACCGCUCGUUUUCCUCCACCGUCACGACCGCUGCAGCUGAACAGAGAAGAGAUGAAGAGGCUAGGGAUUGACUCAAGGAAUUUCAUUCAUUGCUUCUGGUAGGUAAUUCAUAACACGAAGUACAUGUCAACUGUGUUGAGUGUGUUUGUGAUCAUGUCAUCAUUGUUCGGCGCACACGCAGGAAUGUGUGCGAGCUAUCAGUUCAGAUCGCUUCGAUAGUUUGCCAAACACACGCUAUUCGUAAAUCGCAGGCAGCGACCAUGGUAAUUUAAUGACGUUAAGUAUGUUGUUUCUAACUAGUAAGCAUACAUGAAGUGCAAUAAUAACAUGAAGUGUGCUGACUACUGUUCCUGUGCUCAAACCGACCGAUGACCGGACCAUGGCAAACCUUCAGUGAGGAGUCAGCCGACGCGGGCGCGAUGACGUCACCGGCGCCGCGCUGUCUAGCGGCGCCGCGACAGAGACGGCGCUAGCGCGGGGCAUACACACGGCAACUCGCUAGAGCGAGACGGAGACGGUGAUGGCGUGUCCUUGGGAAGUGUUGCAGCGACUACAGCGAUGUAGUUGUUUAUUAAAUAAACUCUAUUCCUCCUCA